rnacentral:rRNA from 1 species
AUUGAACGCUGGCGGCAGGCCUAACACAUGCCAGUCGAGCGGAGCGGCGGACGGGUGAGUAAUGCCUAGGAAUCUGCCUGGUACUGGUGGAUCACGUCCGGCAACGGGCGCUAAUACCGCAUACUAUCAGAUGAGCCUCGGUCGGAUUAGCUAGUUGGUGGGGUAAAGGCCUACCAAGGCGACGAUCCGUAACUGGUCGGAGAGGAUGAUCAGUCAAACGGGAACUGAGACACGGACCAGACUGCAACGGGAGGAAGGAGUGGGGAAUAUUGGACAAUGGGCGAAAGCCUGAUGCAGACAUGCCGCGUGUGUGAAGAAGGACUUAGGAUUGUAAAGCACUUUAAGUUGGGAGGCGUUACCAACAGAAUAAACACCGGCUAACUUCGUGCCAGCCGCCGCGGUAAUUC